UACGGAGGGUGCAAGCGUUAUCCGGAUUCACUGGGUUUAAAGGGUGCGUAGGCGGGCAGGUAAGUCCGUGGUGAAAUCUCUGAGCUUAACUCAGAAACUGCCAUGGGUACUAUUUGUCUUGAAUAUUGUGGAGGUAAGCGGAAUAUGUCAUGUAGCGGUGAAAUGCUUAGAUAUGACAUAGAACACCAAUUGCGAAGGCAGCUUACUACACAGUUAUUGACGCUGAGGCACGAAAGCGUGGGGAUCAAACAGG
rnacentral:rRNA from 1 species